AUUGAACGCUGGCGGCAGGCCUAACACAUGCAAGUCGAGCGGAGCGGCGGACGGGUGAGGAAUGCCUAGGAAUCUGCCUGGUAGUGGGGGAUACCGUCCGGAAACGGGCGCUAAUACCGCAUACUAUCAGAUGAGUCUAGGGCGGAUUAGCUAGUUGGUGGGGGAAAGGCCUAGCAAGGCGUCGAUCCCUAGAUGGUCUGAGCGGAUGACCAGCAAACGUGGAAGUGAGACACGGUCCAUACGCCUACGGGAGGAAGCAGUGGGGAAUAGUGGACAAUGGGCGAAAGCCUGAUCCAGCAAUGCCGCGUGUGUGAAGAAGGUCUUCGGAUUGUAAAGCACUGUAAGUUGGGAGGCGUUACCAACAGAAUAAGCACCGGCUAACUUCGUGCCAGCCGCCGCGGUAAUAC
rnacentral:rRNA from 1 species